rnacentral:sRNA from 2 species
GAGUGCCAGGAUCGCCCCCCGUCAGCGUUAUACGCCCACGGGGGCGGAACCG